GACGAACGCUGGCGGCGUGCCUAAUACAUGCAAGUAGAACGCUGAAGGAAGGAGCUUGCUCUUUCCGGAUGAGUUGCGAACGGGUGAGUAACGCGUAGGUAACCUGCCUGGUAGCGGGGGAUAACUAUUGGAAACGAUAGCUAAUACCGCAUAACAGUAGAUAUCGCAUGAUAGCUGCUUGAAAGGUGCAAUUGCACCACUACCAGAUGGACCUGCGUUGUAUUAGCUAGUUGGUGAGGUAACGGCUCACCAAGGCAACGAUACAUAGCCGACCUGAGAGGGUGAUCGGCCACACUGGGACUGAGACACGGCCCAGACUCCUACGGGAGGCAGCAGUAGGGAAUCUUCGGCAAUGGACGGAAGUCUGACCGAGCAACGCCGCGUGAGUGAAGAAGGUUUUCGGAUCGUAAAGCUCUGUUGUAAGAGGAGAACGAGUGUGAGAGUGGAAAGUUCACAC
rnacentral:rRNA from 1 species